AAUCAUUUGCCUUUUAAUGGAGGCUGGUAUGAAUGGCAAGACGGAGGUUUAGCUGUCUCUCUUUUAGAAUCUUGAAUUUGCCAUCUUCGUGAAGAGGCGAAGAUAAAGUCGUAGGACGAGAAGACCCUGUCGAGCUUAAGCUUUAUAAUAGAGUUGAAAAAUUUUUGUUUUUAGGCUAAUUGAAAAACGACUUAAUUUUACCUAGGAAUAAAGAUUAACUACUAUUAGAAUGUUUUGGUUGGGGCAACCGCGGAGAAAAUACACCCUCCGUUACAAAAUUAGAAAAACUUACUACUUUGGGAAAUUUUAAAGUUUAAAAAUGAUCCACUAAAAAGUGAUCAAAGGAAUAAGUUACCGUAGGGAUAACAGCGUAAUUUUUUUGGAGAGUUCAUAUUGAUAAAAAAGUUUGCGACCUCGAUGUUGGAUCGGGACUUCCAGGAGAUGCAGAAGUUUCCAAGGGUUGGUCUGUUCGACCAUUAAAGUCCUACGUGAUCUGAGUUCAGACCGGA
rnacentral:rRNA from 1 species